CCUAUGAACUUUAAAUUCUAGUUUUAUUCUUUGAGAAAUUUUAAAUUAUGGAACAGGAAGGAAGGUCAGGACAACUCGGGGAAUCUUUGGAAACAUCAUCUUCAAGUUCAAGCUCCUCUAGAACUGCUGGAGACUCUAGUAAAAUGCUGGAGGUUGCAGAGGAGAAGAUCCUGGUGGAUAUAGAGAAGGAGAAGAAUAUGCCAAUCAGUUAGGAGCCCUGUCUUGUGCAAGAACUGCAUGGCUGCAAACUUCAGAUGCCGCAUGUGGCCUGGAUCAUUCUCUACUGAUUUUCUGUAAAUAUUUACUGGUGAUGGUACGCUAUUGAACGGUGGAAGCAACAUAUAUGGUCAGUUGAGGGAGCCAUGAAAGGGUCAAAAAUGCUGCCGGUCGACAUAAGUUUCGAGCCUGUAUCUAUAUCAUCGGGUCUUGGACAUUCUUUAGUAGUGUGCUGGAUUCGUCACCUGAGGUUGUAGGAGAUGACACAAGUGUGCUUACAUGAGGAUGGAAUUGGACUUAUCAACUUGGACACAACGGGGGAACCAGAAAAUUUUUCAGCACCAGUCCAAAUGCUGGAAGGAGAAAGGCCAGUCACAGCAUCUGGCGGACAUGCCCGUUCCAUUCCUCAGUUGUUGAAGCUGAGCCGCCAGCAUUGGUGGAUUGCUUGACUGGCUUUGAAGUCCAGCAUUGGUGGACUGGCUUUGAAGUUCUGCAGGCUAUGGCAGGUUUUGAUUAUACUCUAGUCAGCAUCUCCAAUUAGCAGCAAAGUGUAAAAGCUAGAACAAGCUGCUUCUAGUUUUUCUUGUUUAUUCACUCCAAAAUGAAUACUCUCCUAAAAUUCUAU